ACUCCUACGGGGGGCAGCAGUGGGGAAUAUUGCGCAAUGGAGGAAACUCUGACGCAGCAACGCCGCGUGGGUGAUGAAGGUCCUAGGAUCGUAAAGCCCUGUUGGGAGGGAAGAAAUUUGACGGUACCUCCACAGAAAGCACCGGCUAACUCCGUGCCAGCAGCCGCGGUAA
rnacentral:rRNA from 1 species